rnacentral:rRNA from 1 species
CACGUAGGCGGACCAUCAAGUUGGGGGUGAAAUCCCGGGGCUCAACCCCGGAACUGCCUCCAAAACUGCUGGUCUGGAGGUCGAGAGAGGUGAGUGGAAUUCCGAGUGUAGAGGUGAAAUUCGUAGAUAUUCGGAGGAACACCAGUGGCGAAGGCGGCUCACUGGCUCGAACCUGACGCUGAGGUGCGAAAGCGUGGGGAGCAAACA